rnacentral:misc_RNA from 1 species
CCCUUCCCUCUCUCUCUCUCUCUCACCGCAAAAUACAAAAAUAGGGAACCAUGAAUUAAGGAAUUAGAACAAAGAAAAAACUGGAUUUACAUUACUUCUGAAAGAAAAUUGACAUUAAUCAAUAAUCAUCCGAAAUGCUUCGCUUGCUUUUCACGAUCCUUGUGUUGAUUUUCAUGCUUUACUUGCUUUGCCCAACCAGUGCAGCAGCCCCUACUUACAGCGUCCACUAUUGCACAAAUACAACUAUUUUCACCCCCAAUAGCACCUACCAGGCCAAUCUCAACUCCGUUCUCUCCGCUCUUUCCUCCAACGCCACAAGCAGCAAUGGAUUCUACAACUUUUCUGCUGGCAGAGAACCCCCUGAUGUUGUGUACGGUCUCUUUCUCUGCCGUGGCGACCUCUCUCCAGUUGCCUGUAAAGAAUGCGUCGACACAGCAGCCAAAGAGAUAAUCCGCCGUUGCCCCAAAGAAAAGGAAUCUUAUAUUUGGUAUGAAGAAUGUUUAUUACGUUAUAAUAACCAGUCUAUCUUCUCCAUCAUCAGAGAAGUGCCUGGCUUUGAUUUGCCUGAUCCACAGAAUGUUACGGAACCAGAGCGCUUCAAUCAGUUGUUAGCCAGUACAAUGAACAGUUUAGCUUCAAAAGCAGCAUCUGAACAAUCCGUUAAAAAGUUUGCAACUGAUGAAGAAAAGUUUACGAGUUCUGAAACACUUUACAGUCUAGUGCAGUGCACGCCAGAUCUCUCUGAGUACCUUUGCAAUAGAUGUUUUCAAUCUGCAAUAGCUGGUCUUCCCAUGUGCUGCAUUGGGAAACGAGGUGGAAAGAUUCUGCUUCCAAGCUGUGUUAUUAGGUACGAACUGUUUCCGUUCUACCGAGUCAAUACCACUGUUCCAGUACCCUCACCUUCAACAACAAAAGGUAAAGUAUUAUCUGGUUCUUGAAGACUUCUGGAUUAGAUUAGGAAGCCCACCUAAAACAAAUAAGAAUUGAAGGAACAAUUAGGUCGUUUGAAUUGGCUUUAGUAAAACAAAUAUUGUUUCAAAAUGGGUAAUUUUCAAUCUUUCUUUUAUACCGUAUGCAGGAAAAAGACAGAUCUCAGUACAGAUAGUUGCUGCCAUUAUUAUUCCCGUAGUUAUAUCCUUGGUGCUACUGGCCCUGGGCAUUUGUUUUCUAAGGAGGAGAGCAAUGAAGAAAUACAAUGCCUUAAGAGAACAAAAUGUUGGGGAUGAAAUUACAGAUGUUAACUCCUUGCAAUUUGAUUUGGCCAUAAUCCAGUCUGCCACAAACAACUUCUCUGCUGACAACAAGAUAGGUGAAGGUGGAUUUGGUACAGUGUACAAGGGUAAACUGUAUAAUGGGCAAGAAAUAGCCGUGAAGAGGCUAUCAAGGGACUCUGGGCAAGGUCUAACAGAGUUUAAGAAUGAGGUGAUGUUGGUCGCUAAGCUUCAGCACAAAAAUCUGGUGCGGCUACAGGGAUUUUGCGCAGAUAGAAAAGAAAAGAUACUUGUAUACGAAUAUGUGCCUAAUGGAAGCCUUGACCGCUUUCUAUUUGACACUGAAAAACAAGGAAAGCUGAAUUGGCCAAGACGCUACAAGAUUAUUGAAGGAAUUGCUCGGGGUUUGUUUUACCUUCAAGAAGACUCGAGGGUGAGAAUUAUCCAUCGUGAUCUCAAAGCUAGUAAUAUUUUAUUAGACGAGGAUACAAAUGCAAAAAUUUCAGAUUUUGGCAUGG